rnacentral:tRNA from 1 species
UUUCUUUGAUUGUUUAUGCAUAUAAAAUUUUGAAUUUUAUGGAUAUUGGUUAAGUAAGAGAA